GUAUAAGUAAAGAGUGAGAGCGUUUCGAAUUCAAGUUUUUCCAUGGAAACUUUUUAUGCAAUUAUGAAAAUGAGAGUCCACACCAGAUGUUGCAAUAAUAGGCCAUGUGGGUUUGGAAGAAAUAUCUUUUUGUUGCCCCAUAUAGCAGGAGAAAAAAUAGGAAAUAUGCAUGAAAACAAGAAAGUUAUACAUGUGAAAGCUUUUGGUAGUUUAAAAUUACCUUCCAUCUGAGCCUGAGGAUGUAGAACUUCGAUUCAAAUUAUUAAGUAGAAAAACUCUGUAAAACCUUUACAGGGACUAAAAGUAUUUUGGAGUUGAGAUUGAUCCACAGAACGGAAAUUCUUGGAAAAACGGCAAUGUACAUGCCCACCUAAGGCUUUCAAAAGCUUUUUGUCUCGACGCUAAUUGCAGAAAAUCUUCGACAGGAACAACCUAACGUGCACAAAAUAAUCACUUAAUUGCUUCCGUAAAAUAAAAUGAACAAUAAUUAACACUGUGUGGAAGCAAUUUCAGCUCAGAAAAAU
rnacentral:misc_RNA from 1 species